rnacentral:rRNA from 1 species
CCUACGGGAGGCAGCAGUGAGGAAUAUUGGUCAAUGGACGAGAGUCUGAACCAGCCAAGUAGCGUGAAGGAUGACUGCCCUAUGGGUUGUAAACUUCUUUUAUAAAGGAAUAAAAUGAGGCACGUGUGCCUUUUUGCAUGUACUUUAUGAAUAAGGAUCGGCUAACUCCGUGCCAGCAGCCGCGGUAAUACGGAGGAUCCGAGCGUUCUCCGGAUUUCUUGGGUUUAAAGGGAGCGUAGAUGGGUUGUUAAGUCAGUUGUGAAAGUUUGCGGCUCAACCGUAAAAUUGCAAUUGAUACUGGCAGUCUUGAGUACAGUUGAGGUAGGCGGAAUUCGUGGUGUAGCGGUGAAAUGCUUAGAUAUCACGAAGAACCCCGAUUGCGAAGGCAGCUUACUAAACUGUGACUGACAUUGACGCUCGAAAGUGUGGGUAUCAAACAGGAUUAGAUACCCUGGUAGUC